AAAAAAAAGAAAUGGCAAUUCAGAUAAAUCCCAAUAUAAUUAUGCUGAGAGCUGGACAUGGUGGCACAGGCCUCUGUUCUCAGCUACGCAGGAGACUGAGGUGGGAGGAUCCCUUGAGCCCAGAGCUCGAGGCCAGCCUAGGAAAUAUAGCAAGGCCUCAUCUCUCUCUCUCUCUAUAUAUAUAUAUACUCUCUAUAUAUGUAUAUAUAUAUAUAUACAUACUGAGUAAAUGAAGCCAGAUCAAAACAAGUACAUACUGUAUGAAUCCAUUAUAUAAAACUCUAGGCCGGGCACUGUGACUCACGACUGUAAUCCCAGCAUUUUGAGAGGCUUAGGUGGAUGGAUCAACCUAGGUCAGGAGUUCGAGACCAGCCUGGCCAACAUGGUGAAACCCCUAAAAAUACAAAAAUUAGCUGGGUGUGGUGGCGGGUGCCUGUAAUCCCAGCUACUCGGGAGGCUGAGGCAGGAGAAUCGCUUGAACCCUGGAGGUGGAGGCUGCAGUGAGCUGAGAUUGUGCCAUUGCACUUCAGUGUGGGCAACAAGAGUGAAACUCUGUCUCAAAAGAAAAGAAAUAAAUAAAAAGUAAAAAUAAAAUUAUAGAAAAUGCCAACUACUUUAUAUUGACAGAAAGCCUGGGAAUGGGGAGAGAAGCAGAAGAGAGGGAUGACAAAGAGACACAAGGGGCCAGGCACAGUGGCUCACCUGUGUAAUCCCAGAACUUUGGGAGGCCGAGGCGGGCAGAUUCCUUGAAGUCAGGAGUUCAAGACCAGCCUGGCCAACAUGGUGAAACCUCGUCUCUACUAACAAUACAAAAAUUAGCCUGGUGUGGUGGUGGGUGCCUGUAAUCCCAGCUACUGGGAAGGCUGAGGCAGGAGAAUUGCUUGAACCCAGGAGGCGGAGGUUGCAGUGAGCUGAGGUGGCACCACCGCACUACAGCCUGGGCAACAGAGAGAGACUCGUUCUCAAAAAAAAAAAAAAAGAGAGAGACACAGGAAGCUUUGGGGGUGAUGGACAUGCUCAUUAUCCUGAUGAUGGUGAUGGUUACUCAAAUGUAUGCAUGUGUCAAAAUUCAUCAGAUUGUACAUUUUAACAUGUGAGGUUUGCUGUCUGUUAAUUAUACCUCAAUAAGCUGUUAAAGAUAAAAAGAGUAAAAAAAAGAGUAAAAAAAUCCCUUACAUGAGAAUGCUUCUGGAGUUGUUGGAGAGGAGGCCUAGAGCCCAGCUGGGCAUGAGAGAGCAGUCGCUCCAGUUUGGAGAAGGAGGAUGGGGUGCUCCAGGGAGGACAUUUCCAAGGAACAAAUGGAAGACAUAGCUGGCUUUUGUGUUUGAAGGCACACUCAUUACAAUACUGAGGAGGCUGGGUGGGGUGGCUCACCUGUAAUCCCAGUACUUUGGGAGGCUGAGGCAGGCGGAUCACUUGAGGUCAGGAAUUCGAGACCAGCCUGGCCAACAUGGUGAAACCCCAUCUCUAUUAAAAAUGCAAAAAUUAGCCGGGUGUGGUGCCACAUGCCUGUAAUCCCAGCUACUCAGGAGGCUGAGACAGGAGAAUCGCUCAAACCUGGGAGGCAGAGGUUGCAGUGAGCCAAGAUUGUGCCACUGUACUCCAGCCUGAAUGAGUGAGACUCUGUCGCAAAAUAAAUAAAUAAAUAAAUAAAUAAAUAAAUAAAUAAAUAAAAAUACUGAGGAAAUACAGUUCUACUGAAGAGGUGGGGGGUGAAUUAGAGAUAGAUACACAGAAAGCUUAGUAAACAACAUGAGGCAAUUAUUAAUUGCAAAGAAAGCAAAAAAAGUUCUAUAAGACAAGAAAUGUAAUGGACAAAAAAAUGGCUCUAUUCCAAAUAUAUUAAUAUAGUCAUGAAAAUGUGAGUAAUGAUGGUUUAGCCAAAUUGAUAGAAUAUAUCUGGGAAGAUGGAGUGGGAAUUGGUGUAAGGCUGAGCUGUUAGGGCAAGAGGAAGACGUGUAAAAUCUCACCCACCACACCUAGAAGUCAAAACGCAAAAACCUAAAAGUAGUAGAUGAGGAAAUGGUAAUGUAAGCAUAGUAUUUAGACUGAGGGAGGUAAGUAGCAGAGACAGCUGAAGGGAAUAAUCACCAUUGCCUCUAGGGAGUGGGAAUCCGGAGGGAAGUCUGGGGCCUUAGAUUGCUGGUUGUUGUCAAAAGCCAACACUCUCUGGUUUUUCAACUAUUUGUAAAUAUCCCUUAGACAUGAUAAAACUAAAUUUAAGAAACUGUAUGGGAAAAGUCCUGGGAGAGCAUGACUACAAAUUAAAACAGUGAUUUCAACUCUUUAUUUUCCCCCGGUUUAAUUUGUACUGGUCCUGGGUCUUUCCAAGACCAUUUAUUACUUUCAUAAAGAAUAAAAUAAAUGAGUGAAUAAAUGCAGGUGAACAAAACCCAUCCCAUUGCUAAUUCUCAAGAAAGUGGAGGACAAGACUGAAAAGAAGAUAGGAACCAAGAUGGAAAAUCCCAGAGACGGGAGCCGCUGGCCAGGUUCCUGGCACACAGCGUUGGAAGAAGCAGCCUUCCCCUGGGAAACCGCCAAGGAGUCAUUCCAGGACAGCAGCUGGGCUUCCGGAGAACCGGUGCCCGCUGACUACUGUAAGGUUAGGCCCCUGCGGCCCCUCCUACACACACAAUAACAAUAAUAAGUAUAAACACACAAAACAGCGAAGCCUGGGGUAAGAUUCCUGCUCUGACUCACAGGCUGCCUUUCAUGCUUACGACAUAAUCUCUCAAAAACAUCUCCUGUUUGGUAACUUCAGUUUUCUGAACAUCUCCCCUUUAGAUGAGAAGCAAGAGGUGAAAGAAGGGCAAAGUGAGUAAGAAGAAAGAAAGACUUGAGUGCUAUUCUAAAGAGAACAUUCUAGAUGUGUCCAGGGGAAGAAGCAAAAUAUGGGCUCUCUGCCCAAAUUCUCUCACUGAAUUUCAAAAAGAAUUUGUAUCCCCUUUUGAUCCCCAUAGAAGGCAUCAAAAGGUGAGAGAAGUCAAAGAAUCUUUCCAGGUUCACCAAAGUCAGAAUUAUUAUUAUUAUUAUUUUGAGAUGGAGCCUGGUCUGUCACCCAAGCUGGUGUACAGUGGCACAAUCUCGGCUCACUGCAACCUCCACCUCCGGGGUUCAAACAAUACUCCUGUUUCAGCCUCCUGAGUAGCUGGGAUUACAGGUGUGUGCCACCAUGACCCACCCAAAGUCAGAAUUUGAACCCAGUACUCUCCCCUUUUUCCUUUCUUCUCUCCAUCCUUCCUUUUCCUUCUUUAAUUUUUAUUUUUUUAUUUAUUUUGCCUUCAAAAAUAUUUAUAUAGCUCCCAAGCACAACACUAAACACUGGCCUGGGACUUCAUGAAACUUACCUCCAGGGGGAGGGAUGGAAAGUAAAAUAAACAAAUAAAUGAGCAAAUAGUUGCAAAUGCUUGUCAGGGCUGUGAAGCAAAUAAAACAGGGUCAUGUGAAAUACCGAAACUGAGCAGGCAUGACAUGGAAUACUUCAGGAUAAGUGGUCAAGGAAUGUUCUCGAGGAAGCAGUAUUUGAGCUGAACCCUGAGUGAAGAGCUGUGGAAAGACCAGAAACAGUGUUUCAGGUGCAGAGAAUAGUAACUGCAAAGACUGAGGCGAAACUAAAAAAGUCAUCGAAACCCACACUGAGCCCUGCUGGCGGGGAACUGAUGACUCCUCGUUGGUACGGUCGUCUGCCCUGUCCAACGUGGGGUUCUUGAGAAGCUGAUUCUGAAAUUGAGAUUAGGGUACAGGAAGAUUCUUGUGGGGGUGCUCUUGUGAGGAGUGAAGGCAGCGAGGCUAGGCAGAGGGAGGGAGGCACUGAACUGUGCUGCAGUCUCACAGCACUGGCACAAGGACCCUGACCUUGGCAUCACCGACUGCAUAGGGUUGAGAAUUUGACCAUCUCUGGGGUGCCACAACUCUUAUAAAUUCAAUCUCGGGUCUGAUACUCAGCCUUUUCCGCCCUCCAGUUGUGAGAGAUGAUGGCCUCUUUAUAUGCUACCAACGAGGUCCUAUGGCUGUCACACUUUACCUUCGUGAUUAAUCACUCUCAGCCUUCCACUGCCUUUCUCAAAUGCAUUGAUGGUUCUCAGCAACAGCCAUCUCACUCCAUUGUUCGCCCCUCCUCACCAGCCUUUCAAACUCCUGAAGUCUUGCACCUCCUGUCCAUUCCUUUCCAUAGCUGUUCCACCCAAGUGUAUCAUGGAAGUUUUACCAAUUGCAAAGCAUGCCUGGGGGAAUCAGUGCUCCACUGCCACAAGGGAUGGGGUCCUCGUGGUCAACUGGCUGAUGAGUGAUCAAACUUCAAAAUCCCAUACACAGUCUGCUUCCUCAAACCCUUCCUGGCACCAACAUCUCUGAGCCGGAGAUGCACGUGCGGUCCCCUGAGGCCACGCAGCGCAUGCGGCUGCACCCUGAAUGACUAAAGACAGUGAUGGACUCCCCAAGGCUCCCGUGGGUCAAAUCCCUGUGGCUUCUUUACAUAUUUCUCAAAUGGAGGGUGAUUAUAUAUGUGAUGGACUAAACCAGGACACUUUUGAGAAUGAACUUGGGUGCUAUUGGUAAUCACACCGAGACACAGCAACGUCCGGGACCAACUCAACCCUCAGUCCGCUCAUGGGGCACAGGUUUCCUGGUCCUUCCCUACCCUGACUUCUCUUCUUCUGAUGUUUGGUGGUCUGCAUCCUUUUAAACCACUGUGCUCCCAGAACUGAUUCCCAUAUGUGUCUGCCAUACUGGAAAAUACCAAAUAGGCAAGGAGAUCGUUUCAAUACUGUCUGCUGAACACCUUAAUAGAGGCAAGAGAGAACGCAGAGGAAGAAACAAUGGACUCUUUCUGAGAGAGUGGAAGAUGGCUUCGCAGAGGAGCUGCUGUCUGAGACGGAUAGCAUGAGUAGGAGUUUCCCCAGGCAGGGAAGGUGUUGUUGUUUCUCCUCAGGGUAGAGGGGAGAGCAGGGUUCCCCGUGUGUCUGUUGCUGAAUGUGACUCAUGCUGUUUUCCUGCUUUGAGCCUGCUCUAGGGUGUUAUGGGCAGGAUGGACUUGUCCUGCGUGCUUGUUGUUCCGCCGUGUUUCUGAUCUUCAGAUUUAUCGUAAGGAAGAACAGCCGAUGUACAGGCAGAACUUGACAAAUGAGGCAACAAGCAACUUGAUCUGGGAUCCAUCGUCCUCUAGACCCCAGUAGGAGUCUAAGCACCAGCGUGGUGGCCACCCCAGCAGCCUUGGACCCCUGAAGGCUUGAGCACCAAAGCACACACAGCUGCCUCUGGCUGAGUUCUGUGGUCGCCUGCACCCCCUCCACCUGCUUCCCCCGGAGGAUGGAUCAUGAAGAGUGGAAUUGCUUUUCCUCUUGGGGCAGGCACACCAACAGUGUAUGUGAGGCCCCUGCUCCCACUCCCCAGGCUGGCCAGUACUUUGGGCCAAUCUGCUAGACCCAAAAAUGUUAAUCUCACUGAGAUUUAAUUUGCAUUCCCCUGACUACCGGUGAAGUUGAGCAUCUUUUCAUAUGUUUAUUGACAAUUUGCAUUUCUUAUUCAGUAAAUUACCUGCUCGUAUCCUAGAGUCAUAUUUCUGUCUGCCCGUUUUUUUCUAUUCAAUUUGUGGGAGCUCUUUGUAUACCUGGGAUCUAAUCUUUGACUCAUAUAUAUGGCAAGUAUUUUCUAUUACUGUUGUCAACUUUUUAUCAUAGUAAAAUUCUUACAUCCAGCACCCCCACCCCUCCCCUGCCCUUUUUUUUUUUUUUUUUGCAUUUGGGUUAGGCAGAGAGCUAGCUUUACUGUUUUCCAAAUGAAGUCAAUCGAUCCCAAGGAUUUUUAAAUUAUUUAAUCAGUAAAAAUGUACACAUUUUGAG
rnacentral:lncRNA from 10 species